UGCUCUGGUUAGAUUUCCUUAUCAGGUGGGCUGAAUGCUAUAUUUAGCAAUGUGUGGGGCUAUGAAUUAAUCUCCUUGCCUGGGUGGAGAAGAAGAACUGGCUCCAAGGCCAACCAGACUCUUUGCUUGUGGUCUUGACUCAAGCUGACCCAUGCCCCAAGUUCCCUGACCAAACAGGGCCACUGGCUUUGCUUUGCAAACUACUGGCCCUG